AAAAGUUAGAAAGAAAAGAAAGGCUUAUCUGCCUUAUGCGACGCAAACACUCUGUUGCGUAGAAAUGUGAGUAACUGCUCGCAUUGCGUUCCCCCAGCCCAUCCAAACUUUGAUGAUAACAACCUUUCUGGAGGGCGUCACGAAAUACAUGUUUCUCCUAUUUUAUUCGAGGUAAACAAGGAGUUAGUCGUACAAGGUUAGAUCUAUCCAUGAUUUUUUUCCCCUUCUGUAACUAUGAACAUUUAGGGUGGAAUUGAAUUCGCUUUUUCCUUGCUUCAACUGCGGACUGAGUCAUAGCAUGUCUCUCUAACCUCACUGGAGCAGGACACGGUGUUGACAAAAUGUUUGUUACACGGCAGAGAGUUAGGUAAUGGUGGAGGUAAGGCAAAGAAGGCGAGAUAUGCUAGGUGUCAUCACUUGAGAUGUAUGAAUGUACUCUGAUGAGGCACUCGGAGGAAAGUUGUAUUUUCUUGGGACUGGAGAAAUGGAAUGAAUGUUAAUGGGAGAUUAAAUAAUUGAUACUGUUAUUGUUGGUAUUAGACAUUGAAAGGCAUCUGCUCUGCUCUGCUCUGUUCUGCGUUGUACUUAAUAUGGUUGCUGCUGCAGCUGCUUUUUCUAUGGAUGGAAUGCUUCUCCUUAUUGGGGAUGAUCUUGGUUGCAGCAGUGCUCCUCAAUCUGUAAUUGCCUUGUGGAGGUUCAACUAGAUCCAAAUAGCUUUUGGGUGUCUUGGUUUAGUGGGUGGUCGUUCUUGAUGGAUCACAGUUUGGACUCAGCACAAGGCCCAGCCGUGGCGGGUAAUCCAAGCAAGAAUUCGUUUUCGUCGUCCCCAUCUCCUCCUACUACUACUACUGAUGUGGGACUGGUUUCUAGGAGAGCAAAGAGUGGGAGGAAAAAAUCCAAAGUAACCAGAAGCCAGAUCAAUGACUUCCAUGCAGCUGGAAACAUUAGUACCAGGAAUGAAGAGGAAGAGGAGAGGAGUAGGAUUAAUUCGGAGGAGAGGAGCGCAGGUAAGAGCAGAAACCGUUACCAUGUGUGCAAGCAUUGCAAGAGGGCUUUCACCUCGGGGCGUGCUCUGGGAGGUCACAUUCGAAUCCAUGGAGCGUCCUUCAAAGGAGGAGGAAGAGGAGCAGAGGAGGAGUUUCAUAAUUCACUGUUGAUGGAAGGGGCGGCCGAAGUUGACGGAUCGGAUUCAUCGGAUGCAGAUUCAUCGGGCUCUUCCGAGGGCGGAUUGAGCUCCCCAAAGAUGGUUUCUCUUUACACUCUGAGGAACAAUCCGAAGCGCAGCAGCAUUCUCAUGGAUCCUGAAUUUACCCAUGACCUUCAGGGUCCUGCUCAGCGGAGCAGCAGCAGCUGGCAGUGGCAGGAAUCCGUCUCAGGUAUUUUGCCUCCUCUUCCUUACUCUUCCGAAUAUGCUGGAUCUCAGCUCAGGCACAGGCGUACCCUGCUCCCCAACUGGUCUAUGACUAGAAGUAGAAGUAGUAGAAGUAGUUGUAGCAGAGCAGCGGCAGAGCCCAAGAGACGGGGUGGCCCCAAAGAUGUGGGAGCUGACCAUGAUGACAGAGACACCGCGCAUUUGCUCGUCAUGCUUGCGCGAAGGACGAGGAGCAACAAUAAUAAUGAGGAGGAAAGAGAAUCCACCGAGGAGUCUGUGUAUGAUUCCAAGCCUCGGGUAGUUUCGAACCUUGAAUCCCAAGGGAGUAUAGAGGAUUUGGGAGGGUCUGGUGGGGAGGAAUCAAGAUUAGUCCAGAAGAGGAGGAGGAAGAGGAACAGGACAAUUAAUAAGGUGGAAGUUGAAGGUGGGAAUUUGAUGUUUGAAUCAGAUGUGGAUGGGGAUGUGGGAGGCAUUGGCGAAUCCACUCAACACCAACACCAAUGCAACACAUGCAAGAAGGUCUUCAAUUCUCACCAGGCUUUGGGGGGCCACAGGGCGAGCCACAGGAAAGUCAAGGGCUGCUUUGCAGCAGAUGGGAAUGGAGAAGGGAUAGAAGAAGAAGUUGCAGGAGAAGGAGAAGGAGAAGGCAGUUUUAUGCUGGAGACCGAGCCUGAACCUGAGCCUGAACGGCAACUUCAGGGCGCUACUGCGAUCAUGGGUUCCGGUUUUCAUGCAAUGAAUUUUGAGGAAGAAGGGGCUGUGACAAUGAGCCACUUGACACAAGAAGAGACCCCAGAGCAAGAAUCCUUCUCACACAAAGUAGGAAAGGCUCAGACCCAUCAGUGCUCCAUAUGCCACAGGAUUUUCUCCUCUGGACAAGCUUUAGGUGGGCAUAAGAGAUGCCACUGGAUUGGUGACAGACUUACAGAGACUGCAACUAGUGUGAUUUCAACUGAGAAGCAGCAACAGCAGCUGGAGUCAGGCUGUGGCCGAGCUAAUUGGAAUCUGAGAGACGAGCUGCUAGACCUCAAUCAGCCACCACCUAUGGAUGAGGAUGACAUCCGAGUUGCCUAUGGCUUGGAUGCGAUCUCGGCUUGUGCAGAGAGCGUCAACCAGAGAGUGAAAAUGCUAGGAGGAUCUGUGACCAAUAAUGCAGUUGAUUCUUUCAAAGCACUAAAGUGAUUGAUUGUAGCUACUAGAGUAUUCUGUGAAGAACGAAUUUACAUCUUAAAUUUUCAUCUACUGAGAGCUGGAAGGGGAACUCAUAAGGUAUAGGCACCAGGAAGAGCAUGUAUUUGAUGAGUGACUUGGCUGUCUAACAAUCAAGCAAUUUUGAUGCAUUCCAGGCAGUACUCUCUGUGUAAAGGUACUUCACUAAGUUAUCUUUGGCAGCUAUCCAUACAUGUUGAUGAGAUUGAAUUCAAGGAACUGAAAUCAUGAUCCAAUUUCAAUCCAAAAAUAUAUUGUUUUCUUCUUCUUCAUCAGUAAAAGAACAUCUGAUGAACUAGAAAUGCUAUACAGCAAAGGCUUCUAUCAAUCCUUAAUUGAGUGAAUGAAGUGAAACCAUUAUUCUUUUUGCAAGAACAGGCUUGUAUAAUUUUUGUUUCUGACAUAUUCCGAUCCAAAAUGUUUAGUAUAAUUCAUGUUUCUUGACAUUAUGCUGCUU